GACAUAUUUCUCUCCAACAGGAUUUAUUUCUUCUAGAUCUGUGGCAUUCUGACAUUUUCUAGAAAACUGGUUAUAGAUUCUAAUUGUCAUUUUUUUAUUUUAAAUAAAAAUCUAGAAAUGGGAUAUUACUAAUGAAGGUCAGACACAAUGCCGGCCCUCUCUAAGAGGCAGGGGGAAUUAACCUCUUCGCUGCUGGAGGGGUCAAAUCACCCUAUACAGCAUGAAAAAGGUUAAUGUUUUGCAGUGAGAAUCCCUGCAUCGGAGUGAAGUUGGAAGUGGUACUAAAAAGGCCUUCCAGAAUUUAGUACCUCAUUGGAAUAUUCUUCUUAUAUAACAUACAUGCUUCCCCCAAAUUCUUGAUUUUUUCUUCCAUUAACAAACUGUAUUAUAGUGGUACAAUAACGUUAUGUUUUCCCAAAAAUACAGUAGCAUUUGGGAGCUAGGAUAGAUAGUAUGACACCAUAUAAUGGAAUAAUGAAGACAUUUUCCAAGGAAAAAUGUACCCAAGUUUAGCAACAAAUAUAUUUCAUAUUAGUCCACAAAGUGGUAUUAUACUAUCUAUUUAUUUUCCAGUGUUAACACAAUCUUGGUUAAAUAUCAACAUGGCUAAUAAAAUAAAAUAUAUUUAAAUAUUAUUGAUAUCUGUCAACAGUAAAUUCAUAGCCAUCUCUUUGUUGAGGUAUCAUCCAGGGGUUGGUGAAUUGUUUGUUAAAUUUGCAAAAAUCAUGAAUUGACAUCCAACCAAUUACCACGACCUACCAAACCAAUUCUUAAAAAUCACUAUGAUAUCAACGUGAUUUUCCUAAAUCGCAGCUUACUUUAAAUUUACCAAUACCUACCAUCAUCUUCAUUAAUAUUAAUAAAUGCCCUCCCAGCUGAUCUUUGACAGAUGUUUAAACAAAACAAUUUUACCCUUAUGAUAGAUAUAUAUUCUCGAUCUAACAAUAUUACCAAUUUAUCAACCAACUUGAUUCCAUUUUUUCCCUUCACUCCCCCAGCCUUCCAUUAAAUAUUAUAUUCCACAGUUUAAAGUCAAAUGGCCCCAGUUAGUAUUAAACCAUUACAGAAGCCACACAUAUCCAUGGGAAGACUACAACCCUCCUAGGGGGGCAUCACAGAGCCCUACACUGCCCUAUGGGUGCAAUAGGGAAUCCACGGGCUGAUGGCUGUCACGUCAAGAUCGGGACCAACUUUAACUGAACCGACUGGAUUAUUAAAACUUCAUGUAUCCACCUUUCAGUUUAUAUAGCCUACUAAUGAUGGACUUUUUAAAGAAAUCUCCAGCUUUCUUGAAUAAUUUCAUAUACACAAUUGAUUUCAGUAUGACCAUGUUAUAAAAUUACCAUGGUUGAUAUUGUAGGAGUCCUUUAAACAUAGUGGAAAGAGUCAAAACUACAAAUAAUGGGCACAAUUUCACACACACUUGUCUUAGCCAUGGGCAAGGGGCCUGCCAGGGGUGUCCCACCAUACCCAAUUAUAUUCUGAUUUGUGGUACUACCUUAAAUGCUCUUUUGUAUUAAUUCUGUUUGCUCAAAUUUUGAAUAAAGAAUAAGAACAUAAAAAAAGACUGUGGAUUUGUAUACACCUGGUUCCUACUUGAGCAUUGGUAUUUUAGGUUUCAUUUUUAAGCUGGUAUUUAAAAGGGAACUGUUAAACCUUACCACUCAAAAUCGCCUGUAACUUCUGUUAACCUUCCAUGCUCUGUUUUCUUUUAAAGAACACUCGGUUUCAUCAAAAGGAAGUUGUAAUGGUGCUAGAAGGUCUCUGGUGCUGGCUCUACUAAGGGGUUAAACCAUUUCCAGACCUCCAGGAACUAUAAAAACUUAAUUUUGAUGAUGUUGUUAUGGUGCCUAAACUGUUCCAUUAAAUGUAUAUCAAGUAGUGAUGUCCCGAACGGUUAGCGAACGGUUCGCCGCGGACUCAUCAUUGAGUAAACUUUGACCCUGUACCUUACAGUCAGCAGACACAUUCCAGCCAAUCAGC